UGGGGAAUAUUGCACAAUGGACGGAAGUUUGAUGCAGCGACGCCGCGUGGAGGGUGUAGGCCUUCGGGUUGUGAACUCCUUUUUCUCGCGAAAAAGGCACAGUUUUGGCUGUGUUGAUGGUAGUGGGGGAAGAAGCGCCGGCUAACUACGUGCCAGCAGCCGCGGUAAUACGUAUGGAGCGAGCGUUGUCCGGAAUUAUUGGGCGUAAAGGGUGCGCAGGCGGCUUUACAAGUUGGAUGUGAAAUAUUGUGGCUCAACCACAAACGUGCAUCCAAAACUGCAAAGCUUGAGUUAAGGAGAGGUAAGUGGAAUUCCUGGUGUAGCGGUGGAAUGCGUAGAUAUCAGGAGGAAUACCGGUGGCGAAGGCGACUUACUGGACUUAAACUGACGCUCAGGCACGAAAGCGUGGGGAGCAAACAGG
rnacentral:rRNA from 1 species